rnacentral:rRNA from 1 species
AGGGUUUGAUCAUGGCUCAGGAUGAACGCUAGCGGCAGGCUUAACACAUGCAAGUCGAGGGGUAACAGGAGUGCUUGCACUUGCUGACGACCGGCGCACGGGUGCGUAACGCGUAUACAAUCUACCUUAUACUGGGGGAUAGCCUUUGGAAACGAAGAUUAAUACCCCAUAGUAUUACUGAAUGGCAUCGUUUAGUGAUUAAAACUCCGGUGGUAUAAGAUGAGUAUGCGUUCUAUUAGCUAGAUGGAGAGGUAACGGCUCCCCAUGGCAACGAUAGAUAGGGGUCCUGAGAGGGAGAUCCCCCACACUGGUACUGAGACACGGACCAGACUCCUACGGGAGGCAGCAGUGAGGAAUAUUGGACAAUGGAGGCAACUCUGAUCCAGCCAUGCCGCGUGCAGGAAGACUGCCCUAUGGGUUGUAAACUGCUUUUAUACAGGAAGAAUAAGAGCUACGUGUAGCUUGAUGACGGUACUGUAAGAAUAAGCACCGGCUAACUCCGUGCCAGCAGCCGCGGUAAUACGGAGGGUGCAAGCGUUAUCCGGAAUCAUUGGGUUUAAAGGGUCCGUAGGCGGGUUUAUAAGUCAGUGGUGAAAUGCUGUGGCUCAACCAUAGCACUGCCAUUGAUACUGUAGAUCUUGAAUCGUUGUGAAGUGGUUAGAAUAUGUAGUGUAGCGGUGAAAUGCUUAGAUAUUACAUAGAAUACCGAUUGCGAAGGCAGAUCACUAACAACGUAUUGACGCUGAUGGACGAAAGCGUAGGUAGCG